ensembl:snRNA U2 U2 spliceosomal RNA
AUUGCUUCUUGGCUUUUUGGCUAAGAUCAAGUGUAGUAUCUGUUGUUAUCAGUUUAAUAUAUGAUACAUCCCCUAUCUGAGGACAAUAUAGUAAAUGGAGUUUUGGAGCUCAGAGUUGGAAUUGGAACUUGCUCCGUCCUUCCACACACCAACCUGGUAUUGCAGUACCUCUAGGAAUGGUGCACCCCCU